rnacentral:rRNA from 1 species
UACAUGUGGGGCGAGCGUUGUUCGGAAUUACUGGGCAUAAAGGGUGCGUAGGCGGCUUGUUAAGUCAGGGGUGAAAGUUUUCGGCCCAACCGGAAAAUGGCCUUUGAUACUGGCGAGCUUGAGUGCGUGAGGGGUGACCGGAACGAGUGGUGUAGCGGUGAAAUGCGUAGAGAUCACUCGGAAGGCCAACGGCGAAGGCAGGUCACUGGUGCGCAACUGACGCUGAGGCACGAAAGCGUGGGGAGCAAACAGG